GCAGUACAACUGAGCAGGCAGUACAAAGGUACGUGGCCGGGCUUUGUAAAAAGCAGCAGAUCGGGCAAGGGCACAUCUGCGGGACAGUU
rnacentral:ncRNA from 1 species